rnacentral:rRNA from 1 species
UGGGGAAUUUUGGACAAUGGACGCAAGUCUGAUCCAGCCAUGCCGCGUGCGGGAAGAAGGCCUUCGGGUUGUAAACCGCUUUUGUCAGGGAAGAAACGAGUUUCUCUAAUACAUAGACUUAAUGACGGUACCUGAAGAAUACUCACCGGCUAACUACGUGCCAGCAGCCGCGGUAAUACGUAGGGUGCAAGCGUUAAUCGGAAUUACUGGGCGUAAAGCGUGCGUAGGCGGUUAUGCAAGACAGUGGUGAAAUCCCACAGCUCAACCGGGGAACUGCCUUUGUGACUGCAUAGCUGGAGUGCGGCAGAGGGAGAUGGAAUUCCGAGUGUAGCAGUGAAAUGCGUAGAUAUGCGGAGGAACACCGAUGGCGAAGGCAAUCCCCUGGGCCUGCACUGACGCUGAUGCACGAAAGCGUGGGGAGCAAACA